rnacentral:rRNA from 1 species
GACGAACGCUGGCGGCGUGCUUAACACAUGCAAGUCGAACGGAAAGGCCCUGCUUUUGUGGGGUGCUCGAGUGGCGAACGGGUGAGUAACACGUGAGUAACCUGCCCUUGACUUUGGGAUAACUUCAGGAAACUGGGGCUAAUCCCGGAUAGGCGCUCCUGCUGCAUGGUGGGGGUUGGAAAGUUUCGGCGGUUGGGGAUGGACUCGCGGCUUAUCAUCUUGUUGGUGGGGUAGUGGCUUACCAAGGCUUUGACGGGUAGCCGGCCUGAGAGGGUGACCGGCCACAUGGGGACUGAGAUACGGCCCAGACUCCUACGGGAGGCAGCAGUGGGGAAUAUUGCACAAUGGGCGGAAGCCUGAUGCAGCAACGCCGCGUGCGGGAUGACGGCCUUCGGGUUGUAAACCGCUUUCGCCUGUGACGAAGCGUGAGUGACGGUAAUGGGUAAAGAAGCACCGGCUAACUACGUG